ACAAACAGAGGCUAUAUGUCAGGAAUUAGGGGCUGCAUCUCAGGCAAUUGGGGCUCCAAAGUGUGAGGACAGGUGUGUACAAACAGAGGCUACAUGUCAGGAAUUAGGGGCUACAUCUCAGGCAAUUGGGGUUCCAAAAUGUGAGGACAGGUGUGUACAAACAGAGGCUACAUGUCAGGAAUUAGGGGCUGCA